GAUGGCUCCACAUCAUCCCCUCUCCCCACAGUCCCUGUAGCUCUUCAAUGGCUCCUUACUGCCCUCCUCUGGCUAUAAAUGAAGGGAAUCAUAGACCAUGACAGUCUGAGACAUGAGACAGUGGAGCAGGGUGGGAUGAGACUUCAGAGCUGAUAUGGGCAGGUAAACACAAAGUCCUGUGCUUGGUAGUUGUCUGUUUUUAAAUGAUCUCCCAACACAUAACAACAAGGAGUCAAAAAGAGGUCCAGAUUAGGACUGCUGCAAAUCAACGUUUAUUGGUCGCAUACACAGUUUGGCAGAUGUUAUAGCAGGUGCAGCGAAAUGCUUACGUUACUAGCAGUAAAAUGUCAAACUGCUCUCCAGGACCAGUGUUGUCUACCAAUGGAUUAGGUAACUGUUUUUGGUAAAAGGCUGGUUGUGGACAUAGGAUACACUAAAAUUCACUCAAUCACCCACCACACCAACCAGCAUCCAUUCUGACUCCCUUUCCUCAACAGCAUCAAACACCCAAUCUUGAAUUCCUCAACAACAACAAAAGAGUUACGCCAAAGUCCUCUUUCUCGCUUCGAGAUAUAGAGAGAUUGAUGUAAUAAUAAGGCCCUCCUAACUCUCAAUGUUGUCUCCACAUCAGGUAGUCUGACUACCAGUCUUUUUGGCUAGCAUUCCACUCCUUGUCACUCCAGUCUUUUAGGCUAGCAUUCCACUCCUUGUCACUCCAGUCUUUUAGGCUAGCAUUCCACUCCUUGUCACUCCAGUCUUUUAGGCUAGCAUUCCACUCCUUGUCACUCCAGUCUUUUAGCUAGCAUUCCACUCCUUGUCACUCCAGUCUUUUAGGCUAGCAUUCCACUCCUUGUCACUCCAGUCUUUUUGGCUAGCAUUCCACUCCUUGUCACUCCAGUCUUUUAGGCUAGCAUUCCACUCCUUGUCACUCCAGUCUUUUAGGCUAGCAUUCCACUCCUUGUCACUCCAGUCUUUUUGGCUAGCAUUCCACUCCUUGUCACUCCAGUCUUUUAGGCUAGCAUUCCACUCCUUGUCACUCCAGUCUUUUAGGCUAGCAUUCCACUCCUUGUCACUCCAGUCUUUUAGCUAGCGUUCCACUCCUUGUCACUCCAGUCUUUUGCAAAUGACAUGAAUGUCAAGGAGUGGAAUGUAAUGGCUGAACAGAGGGCAGCUUUUAAAUAAUUCCCACCUUUAUAUUCUAUACAAAUAUAUAAAUAUACAAAACCUUUGAACAUGUUCUUAUUAUGAACAAGCGUUGGCAUGCUAAUUGACUCAAACUAUUUGUCUCCUUUACAUGCAAAACUGAUAUUUUGCCGAAUAAAAGUAGGAUCUGAGCAGUCGUGUGCAUGAACUGUAUGUGAGACUGUGUGUUCAGGUAUUUUGGCUGGCAAAAUCUGUUUGUGGUUUAAGCCACUCAAACAAACUUCAUGUAUUGUCAAGUUCAGGAUAUUGAUACAUUGGGUUUGAUAUAUUGACAAAUAGUUGAAAACAAAAGCCUAUGAGUCACUUGAGCUUGGAACUGUGUAACAGCCAUAUAAGAACCAAACCAAGACCCGUUUCAACACGGGCUUGGUAAGGUGUUUCCCUUCCAAACCAAGGCCUUUUUCAGCAAGGGGCUGGUAAGG
rnacentral:lncRNA from 1 species